rnacentral:ncRNA from 2 species
UGAAUCAUUGAGGUCUCGGGUGACCUGCCUGGUAGCAGGAUCAGGCGGGUUAAAAGGGAACCAGGUGAGAAUCCUGGACGGUCGCGCCACUGUGAGCGGGGAGCGACAUUCCAAGUAGGCCACUGUCCGAACAUGUAGCCGGUUGUGAGAAAACCGGGUGCGUGCCGGAUGGGAAGGCGGGAAUGGAGCGAAGAUCCGCGAGUCAGGAGACCUGCCGGAGGCUGAGCAUCUUC